UCGUUCUUGAUUCAUACAAUC
rnacentral:piRNA from 1 species